UUUUCAGCCUCACAUGGGGUGGCAGUUCAGCAAUGCGUGGAUCUUCAUUCUGUUACCCUUAUGAUUCACCUGAUUAGAAGAAAUAAACCUGUUGCAUAAACUCAAGUUUUGUUGGAUUCCUGCAUCCUGACCCGAUGCCCCCCAUGGUGAUAGUACCUCAACUCCUUCUUAACAUUUACUCAACAGAAAGUUUGCAGGGGAAAUGUGUGACUGAACAAGUCUCGAAGUUGUAUCCAGAAAUCUUUUAUACAAAUGUCCUCACUGAAUCAAUGUGUCAGUGUGAAUCAAAACAUCUUGGCUUUAGAAAAUAAUAAACCUAUGAAUGAAUAAUUCCAAACUAAUAAUAGUUUUAUAUGGCCUGAAGUUCUCAAGUCUACAUCAAAAUUCAUGUUUCAGUUUACUCUGAAGGAAGACAAAUGUCACACUUCCGGUCUCGUCGUCGGUAUUUUCGGACACUUGACGCAGCUAAUAGCGGGGAUGUUCAACAUGGCUGUCAGUGAGCAAGGAGUGUAUCUAAGGCAUGCAUGGUGCCUGGAGCUGUAUGGGGGGUGAUUAAUGGCACACUGAGCUUUUUUAAGAAGCUGAAGGAUGACACAGCUCCACACACUGGAGCCUUCAGCAGACUGCAACUGUCCAUCAGUCUCAUUAAAGUAGUUCAUUAAGCAUACUGAAGUUUGCAGAAAAGCUACCUAUACCUACAGUGUGUUUACCCAUACUUACUGAAAUAUGUGCUGUUUACCCACCAGCUAUUUAAAGACAUGUUACCGGUUUCAUGUGCACAAAGGUCCUUCUAGUGGUUUUUCUUUUCCAUACAUACAGGCAGUGUCAUUUUCUUCUAUUUUGUGAAAUAAUUUGAAUGUUGUUUUUUUUUUUGUAUUUUCGUGCUUUAUGAUUUGUAUUUUUGAUGUUUUAUUUGAUAUGUCUGAAAUAAAUGUCAUCAAUCAAUCAGUCUGUUUUAUAUAUAAAACUGAAUGUUCAGACUACAUUGGUAGAAGUUGCAGCUCUGUUUCAGCUCUUUAUUGAUUUCUGCACUGUGGGUUAUUUAAUUGGGCUAUCCUUCUUUGCUGCUGUAAAACUAUAAAGUUUUAUCUUAAUGU